rnacentral:rRNA from 1 species
CAAUAGCGUAUAUUUAAGUUGUUGCAGUUAAAAAGCUCGUAGUUGGAUUUCGGUUAAGAGCGACCGGUCCGCCGUUUGGUGUGCACUGGUUGGUUUUAACUUCCUGUAGAGGACGUGCUCUGGGUUUAACGAUCUGGACUCGGAGUCUACGUGGUUACUUUGAAAAAAUUAGAGUGUUCAAAGCGGGCUUACGCUUGAAUAUUUCAGCAUGGAAUAACACUAUAGGACUCCUGUCCUAUUUCGUUGGUCUCGGGACGGGAGUAAUGAUUAAGAGGAACAGUUGGGGGCAUUCGUAUUUCAUUGUCAGAGGUGAAAUUCUUGGAUUUAUGAAAGACGAACUUCUGCGAAAGCAUUUGCCAAGGAUGUUUUCAUUAA